rnacentral:misc_RNA from 1 species
GUAUAUUUUUAUAUAAAGUAGAACUCUUAUUUGAGUGUUAUUCUAAUUGAGUGAGAUUUCUAAUUAGAUUAAUUUUGAGGUGACUAAUACUAUAAAGAGGAGUAUUGUGGAAAGGUUAUAUGGUUUUGCUUAUGGAGAGUGACUUUUAGCUCAUAGAGUGGGGAUGUCGCCAUUGUAGAGAGAGACUUUGUCAAUUGUUGAAGAUUUAGCUCUGCCUAUUGAUGAGGGCCUCUUUCCCAUUGCAGUCCCUUGGA